rnacentral:ncRNA from 1 species
CCUAAGGCUCUUUUCAGAGCCAUUAACCACUAUCUUGCCAGUGAUC